UGUUUGUGUGUGUUCUACUUUCUCUCCUGCAUUAUUUCACGUAAACCUAUAAAGACAUAAUGUUGUUAGGUUAAGAAAUCAGAGUCCGCCACCCUUAUCAGUCACCUCGACCGUUACAUCCCUCUUGGCAGCCACAUGACACCACGUGCAGGGCGUGACUCCCACCCAUGUCUCGCCGCCUGAUCACCGCCACCAGCACUGCUGCCCAGGCUCGCGGGUACCCAUAGUUUCCAGUCGCUUCGUGCCAACGUCCUGACACCGUACGUCUGGCCUGCAGGACCGAGCCUUACCAGAGAGACAUCAACUAUAUCAUCUUACUACCAGCAACCAAGCUACCAAGAAUACCAAGCUCACUACAGGUCCCCCACACUACCAACACACCGAGCUCCUCAGUUGAUCCAGCGGUGGCAAGCACCAUCAUCAACUGGGGAAGUAUUUCAUGUAAACCAGGAACAGGAGAGAUACUCACAGGGACCAGCACGCACAAUGGACAUAGAUGGACCAACUCCUUUACCAUGAAGAGCUACUGCUAUCGUAGGCUGGGCUCACACGUCCAUCUGCAAAGUGACUGCGUUAUCAGUGACGUCACGCCAUCGAAGGGAGAAAAUGCACGGGGUACCCGCUACACUUGCGUGAACCCAGCCUAACAGGAAAUGCAGAAGCUAUAUUCGCUGCCGAAUACUGGUAAGCGUACAGCUAGAUAUCAGUAUUAGAAAAAAAAUACGUGUACUGAAAAUUACAAGAGAGAGAGAGAGAGAGAGAGAGAGAGAGAGAGAGAGAGAGAGAGAGAGAGAGAGAGAGAGAGAGAGAGAGAGUUAAUAUAAAAUACGAAGUUUCGUUGUCAAGUCAUUUAAAUUAUAAUCAGAAUGAUAAAGUAAUAACAUUCACCUAGUCUAAGAUAUAUUUCAUUAUUUGCUUUAAGAUGCAAACUAAAAUGUGUCGCUUAUAUUAAGAUUGCAUUGUUACAUGCUUAAGUGGUGCUGAGGUAUAGGUAUAUUUGUUCUGAAUACAAACCCUUGUGUCCGAACACUCCCAAUCCAAGAUUACGAAACCUGGAACCAA